CACACUCACACUAUUUAAGACACGCACGCACUCGCAAAGUCUUGAUUUGCCUUGGUGAUCAUUUCUGAGCGUUUUUCUGUGGACUGUUUUCCUGUUAUCAUUUGGUUUGUUUAUUCCCUGUGACCCUUUGCUGCCUGCCCUGAUCUUUGCCUGUUUCCUGGACUGUGAUUGUUUGCUGCCUGCCCCGAUCCUUGCCUGUCCCUGUUUAUGCCUCUGCCUUUGCCCUGUCUGCUCUGUAAGUCCAUGUAAUAAAAUAGCUGCAAAUGCAUGCACGGAUGUAGCCACUGAGUUUGGAAUAAACCACAUGCUGAGUUUGUUCAAAGACAGCUGGGAAAAGCCACAGUGUGUUCAUCAACGUUGAGACGCUACUGCAGCCAACAUCCAGCGAACCCAAAGGCUUUUUAAAGAGCCAUCCACCCUACAUCACAGUGUAUCAGAAGAUGGCAUUAAGGGUUUGUCCCUGUGGAGGUCUGGUAGAGAGACUCCCCGACAGAGGAUUUUUCAGCUUUUUUCUUUAUUUUUUAAAGUCAUGGAAAAAGGCUGGAUGCUGUGCACCCUGUGGUCUGUAUGUCCCACACUUACUCUACGUGGCAGACUGCUGAAAAAAUCUUCUGCAAUGGCCGUUGCCACAGCAGCAGGGACGAUGCACUCCUCGAAGGUCUCGGAUAAAAGCACCAUUC